rnacentral:rRNA from 1 species
CUUCCCGGGCGUCGAGCGGCGGACGGGUGAGUAAUGCAUAGGAAUCUGCCCGGUAGUGGGGGAUAACCUGGGGAAACUCAGGCUAAUACCGCAUACGUCCUACGGGAGAAAGCAGGGGACCUACGGGCCUUGCGCUAUCGGAUGAGCCUAUGCCGGAUUAGCUGGUUGGUGAGGUAACGGCUCACCAAGGCGACGAUCCGUAGCUGGUCUGAGAGGAUGAUCAGCCACAUCGGGACUGAGACACGGCCCGAACUCCUACGGGAGGCAGCAGUGGGGAAUAUUGGACAAUGGGCGCAAGCCUGAUCCAGCCAUGCCGCGUGUGUGAAGAAGGCCUUCGGGUUGUAAAGCACUUUCAGUGGGGAAGAAGGCCUUCCGGUUAAUACCCGGGAGGGGCGACAUCACCCACAGAAGAAGCACCGGCUAACUCCGUGCCAGCAGCCGCGGUAAUACGGAGGGUGCGAGCGUUAAUCGGAAUUACUGGGCGUAAAGCGCGCGUAGGCGGCGUGAUAAGCCGGUUGUGAAAGCCCCGGGCUCAACCUGGGAACGGCAUCCGGAACUGUCAGGCUAGAGUGCAGGAGAGGAAGGUAGAAUUCCCGGUGUAGCGG